UUAUCCAGGAUCUGAACCAACCUAUGGGAGGUCCUACUGGUUUCAGUUUAGAGUAAAUAACUCUCUGUACAGUUUAUUUCUCUUGUAAAAAGUGUUUUCAUUAGUGUGAGUUUGAGUAGAUUUGACCAGAAAUCUGCUGUUCAAGUUUGUAAGACUGUACUUGUUUCUAUAGUGCUACUUCUAAGUCCUCUAUCUAUAAGGUGGGGUGGUUGCAUUGAAAGAGUAACUUUUAAACAUAGAAUAUAAUAAGAGAAUUUAUUUAACUCAAUUGUACAUAUUUUUAAAACUUCUUUGAUUUCAGGAAAGGACAAAAUCCUGAGGCAUUUGAAUAUAAAACUGCAGUAGAAACAAGACAAUAAAAUAGCUGUUUAUUUUCAUUAUGAAUUAAAGGUUUAUAGUUCAGAAAGAAGGAUGGAUUAAAUAGAAAUUAAAAAUAUGACUUUCAGAAAAAGCCGCUGUAAUACAAUUAUAAUUAAGGCCAAGGGCCAUUUUUUCUGUCUGUUGGAAGUCAGGAAAUGAUAGAAAUUAAAUUUAUAACAAUGAGCCAGAUGCUAAUUUCAACCGUAUUGAUAGAGAUCCAGAGUAACACUAAGUUAGUGGAGUAACCCUGGAAUUAAAUUGGCAUAAAUAUUAACAGAAUUCAAUGUUUUGUCUUAAAUUCAUUGAAUCUGAGCCUUCCCAGAAGCAUUGCUCUCCAUGCAGUCUGCAUUUGCUACCUUUAUGUUGCAUGUAAAGGACUAUUUGCAGUUUUGUCCGAUGUCAUCAGUCAAAGUUUUAUUCAUAACUUUGUUACCUUCAUUUGGUACUAGGCCUUUCAUUUUGAUUUUAAUUACUGCACAUGUACGACUAUGCAAUGAAUGCACACGAAUGCACAAUUCACUUUAUGUAUCAGAACAGCUUUAAAAAGCUUCUCAGUGAAAAUAUUCUUGUGCUUUAUGCAAGAGUGCUUUUUCUGUAAGUUAGGAAAAGCAUUCUGGAUUUACAAGGCAAUCUUCAUGGCAUUAUUUGUUUAUCUGCAUUUGUGCACCAUCUCUACAGCUGUUCAACAGAAGUGUUUGCUGUUUGACGGAAGUUUUUCCUGAUUUAUAGGGAUAUUACAAAGAUUUCUGGAAGCACUGUGUUUCAUUUCAAUUUCUUUUUAUUGAGAUCUAGGGAAAACAAUCUUUUAUUAAUUGAGUCUUAAACUUCCUGUAAAGGCAGAUUUUGGGAUUAUGCUACCUUUUGUACAUUUCUGUAAAGCAGGUAUUACUGACCUCUGAGACAUUCUGCAUAUCCCAUGUUCCUAGCCUAUAGGAAUAUAAUAAUCAAAUGCUUUUAAACAGAUCCUAUGGUUGUGAUCCCCAUAAUGGCAUUGUCACUCAGACUGAACUUUGUUUUGGAUGAAACAUACAAUUUACACAGAUCUUGUCCUUUAAGGCUGCUAGCACAGUAAGAUAAAACAGAACUGUCCUUCCAGAUAUUUUGUAAUCUGUUUUAUAAUAAAGAAACUUUCCCACAGAAAAUCUCAGAGACUCUCAAACCCACUCUGAGUGCAGCCAGAUAGACACAAAUAACCACAUGCUGGGUGACAGACCCUCCAUCUAUCACAGUCCCGGAGCAAUCUGAUAGAGUCUCUCAAUCCACAGAAGGAAAAUAUUUUAAGGAAACUGGAGACUUGCAAAGGUUCUGCACAUGUUUGAAGCUAAAGGCUGGUUACCUCCAUACUAGUACUGAUCAUGAACUCCACUGCUGACAGUCAGCCUAGACAGCCUAUAUAUUUUGAGGAGGAAAGGAAUGAAAUGAUAGAUGCAUCUUCUCCCUACACCACGUUUGGAGAAAUAAACAAUGAGUCAUCACCAGAAAGUGCUCAGCAGAUGUGGCUGAUGUAUACGGUGUCUUGGAGAUGCUAAGGAACCAUCUGUACUCAGCUUCCCCUUUAAAGAGUCUGCAUGAUGGGCUGCGCCCGGAUCAUAUGCUGCCUUUUUGAUGCUGCACAGCUCAGAAUUUCUGCCAUCUGAAGGGACAUAAGAUUAUCUGUACUAUCAUCUCUUCUUCUACAGUGUUAGCAUCAAUAAAUAGCACUUUAAAUGACA